rnacentral:ncRNA from 1 species
CGAUAGCGGAUAGUACCGUGAGGGAAUGGUGAAAAGUACCGCGGGAGCGGAGUGAAAUAGUACCUGAAACCGUGUGCCUACAAGCCGUGGGAGCGUCGCGCAGAGACUUGUCUCUGCGUCGUGACUGCGUGCCUUUUGAAGAAUGAGCCUGCGAGUUAGCGGUGUGUAGCGAGGUUAACCCGUGUGGGGAAGCCGUAGCGAAAGCGAGUCCGAAUA